GGGAAGUUAUUCUGUAGUUGGUAGCAGGGUAGACUGUAAAUCUAUUACCGUAAGGUUCGGGGUGUUCGACUCACCCACUUCCCACCA
rnacentral:tRNA from 1 species